CCAAUAAAACACUCCUUUUUGGGAUUUUGUCUCAAGAGGUUUGUUCAUUUUACAAUCGUCUGAUUCCUUUUUAAUUGUUAGCGACAACCCGCGCGAAACAGAGGCAUAAAGCUUCACCAGCUAAUCAGAGGCUCUUUAACCAAAAGACACUCAAAAUCCUUAUCAAGCAAGGUGUCGAUCCGAAUUAGAAACAAUCGUGAUCGUCAAAAAGAAAAGCAAUUAGCCAUUUAAUAUUUAAUAGUUAAAAAAAAAAUGCACAAUUAUUGUAAUACAUAAAUCAUCCAUGACAACUUCUAUCUCUAAAUUCUCUCUAAAUUUGGGAGAAUAUUUAUCGCUACCUCUCCUUCCUCUAAUCGUCUUUCAAUUUGGUAAUUUAAGUUUUCUAAUCAAUUUUCAAUUUUUCGCCCAUAUUUCAGUUUUUCCUUUUAUUUUCUUGUUAUUGUCGGGGUUCUAAUAUUUAAUAUAUAGACAUGAAGACAUGCAAUGCAUGCAUUUGUCACUUGAAGACAUAAUCUUGGUGUGUUAUCCUUUUUUUUUUUUAUGACGGGAAAAUCACAGCCUCAAUCAUUCGGGUGCAUAGCGAGUACAUCCUCGGGCUGAUGCAAUAGACAGCAAAUGGCAAGAGACAGCAAACCACGUCAACCAGUUAAACCGCACUAGGAGUUACUAGUUAUUCAUUGGAAUUUAUUGCUGGUAAUUAUUAAAGACGGAAGCGUAGGAAAACCUGGAACUUUUUGAUGAGAAAAAGGCAUCCUGUACAACAUGCAUCCGAACACUCAAUUCAGAGGUCAUGUGAUUUAUUUGGAAACAAAACAUUACUGCUCCAGGGAACUCUUGUAAUUUUAAUUAUCAACAUAUAUCAGAACAUCGAAAUUGUGCUUUAUUGUACGGGAUGACACAGUGCAAUGCUGUCCAGCAUCAGCCUCUGGCCUCGAAUCUUAAUUUAGCUGUUGCCGCACCAUCCAGUCAUUAUAACCCAUAUGUGGCAGCCCCAUGUGGUAUUAGGGAUUUUCCUGCUCCAGUAAAUUAUGGGUGCAUGAUCUGUUGUCACUUUCAAGCACUCACAGAAUUGUUGGUGUUCCUUCAGAGAACUACAGAAGAAUCAUUCCUUAUGCGAAUGGAGUUGGAGGAUCAUUUAAGAGAAAAAAUACUGAAGGUGUUACUGGAAAUUACUAUUAUCAUAAUGCUUUAGCAUGGCCUAGUUCUUUUCUUUCCCUCGUGAAGUCAAGGCUGUCUGAAUCCAAUGCUGCUUCUUUUCUGCCACCUGAGGAUGCAGGUAAUGACCCUACAUAAAUGGUCGAAAGUGGAUCUCAUAGACGUACAAGUAAUAAACCUGGUAUAAUUGGACCUGAAUCUGUCCUGGUACAUAACCCUAAUCAUUUUCAAGGAAACCAUGUCGCUCAACCUGCGCAGUUUCCUGGCUAUCAUUGGUUGAGCAUGCAUUUUAACAGUGGUGAUAACUGCACUUGUUGGAACCAGGCUCUUAAUUCACCCUAUGUACACGGUGCAUUAUUUAUUUUAUAAACUAUUUCGAAGCUUUCAAUGCCAUCAUGUGUUUUUGAAUUUCUGGUUUUUGUUCUUGUGAUUUUCUCUAUAUGACUUGCCACCCCCUUCUCUAAUUCUUGGCAUCUCAGCAAAUAUGAAUGGACAUUAUGUUGAAGCUGGGAAUAUUGGCGUACAAGGUUAUCAAAUGACAACCACUAACAUAGGUUCCAGUGGUUUUCUUCAUUCUUCCAUGGCUCAGGGUGCCACCCCCAUCUUCAUCAUCCUCCUCCACCUGUGCAAGGGGUCAGAAGUUAUAAUAAUAACUUUCUGUCCCAAGUGGCUACAUCGUCACGUAGAACAUCAACAAUCAGUUCUUCAUAUACCGGCAUCUAUGCACUCCAGAACGUUGCAGAUGCUGGGCUUACAUUUGUAGCACCUGCUUUGCCAACAGGCUCUCAGUUGUACGAAUCUCAUAGAAGGGAACUUGUACUUGAUCCAAAUGCAAGGCACCACAACCUUCCUCACUUGAGAGUUCUGCCAGAAGAUGCAAUAUUUUUGUGGAAAAGGCCAUGAGUACAGGAAAUUCUUAACAGAAUUUCUACCUACGCUGUUCUGGUUGCAGAUGAUUGAAUUGAAUUUUUUAUUCUCUUUCCACCUUUCAAUCAAUUCUUGCCAUGUGUUGUCUGUCAAAAUUUUUUGUCAAUUUUUUCUGUACUUGUAGCAUAAUUCUAUUUUUGUUGUUCUUUUAGUUUUAGCAUUUUACCUGUAUGAAUUUCUGUUUCAUUUAUAUACCUUUUAGUUCUGUCAUAACAGGCUACUUUGCUUGUAUGACUAUGUUAUAUAUUGAUGCUUUUGAUGAACUAGAGACUUACAGUAAUUGUUAGUUGUUCUUUUUCUUCGUAAUGGAUGGACAUUUUUAGGAAGUUGCCAUGCUAGAGAUUCCUGGCUAUAAUGAAGCAGGAGAUUCUAUUGAUCAGCACUGGGAUAUGCGUCUGGAUGUAGAUCACAUGUCAUACGAGUUUAUAAUAGGAUCUUCUCGCAUUGAGGGAACAGAUUGGAAUUGUUGGCACUGGAUUGUCUGAAUAAGCCAUUCAAAAUAAUUUGAGAACAAGAACUUUCACUUCAUCGGCAACUUGUUCCAAUAUUGAAGAGCCAGCGUGCUUGGAUCAGAAUGUCAAUUUAUGCGUCAUAUGCCAGGUAUUAUUUUAUUUUACGACAUGGAACUAAAAUGUCGUCAGAUUAUGAUUAUUGUUAAGUUUGUGUCAAGCCUCUUUCACUAGUAAAUAUGGAAUUAAUCCUGGGAAAAAUUAUAAGUGAUACAAGUGUAAAUAUAUUAUUUGAUACAUAAAUUGCUGAUGUCCGAAUCCCCUUCUACUUGGCAUAUCAUCCCCCUCGCUCUGGUGCCCACCCCAUGUAACACAGUGAAAGCAGGAGGUUUACAGAUUUUGGUUGGGUGAAAACCACGAUUGAUUGCGAGGAUCAAGAAAAUAUUGGAAUAUUGGAUUGUUGACAUGAAUGCCAUGGAGAUUGCAUAAAGAAGUGGCUGCUCGUAAGAAAUACUUGUCCCAUAUGCAAAUCCACAGCAUUGAUAACUGAAGGCAAGGAUAUGUAAAUAAAAGAGGCCAUGGCUGUUGGUAUGGGAAGACCAGUUUAACAAGUUGGGGCUCUGUCAUUUUACAAAUUAUUCAUAGUCCUUGAAAGAUACAUUUUUUUGUUAUGUAUUAUAUUUAUGUAAAUACUUGCAGGCAUGGAGUAGCAGUCAACAUUUCUCUCUCUCUUGCAAAGUUAAUAGAUUUUCUCAUCUGUUUUUUGUAUUCUACAUGAGACCCUGUAUUCACUUGUAGUUGAUUUACUGCUGGUUGUAGGAUAUAUUUGCACACAUAG